GGUCAAGCUACAAAGGGCUCACGGAGGAUACCUAGGCACACAGAGGCGAUGAAGGACGUGGUUACCUGCGAUAAGUCUCGGGGAGUUGGAAGCACACUUUGAUCCGGGAAUUUCCGAAUGGGGCAACCCCUUGAACGACCAACUGAAUAUAUAGGUUGGUGCGAGCUAACCCAGCGAACUGAAACAUCUUAGUAGCUGGAGGAAGAGAAAGUAAAUAACGACUCCCUCAGUAGCGGCGAGCGAACGGGGAAUAGCCCAAACCGAUAGUCUUGACUAUCGGGGUUGUGGGACAGCAAUAUGGAUCAACAAUUCUAGAAGAAACGUUUGAAUGGCGUGCCAUAGAGGGUGAAAGCCCCGUAAUUGAAAGAUGAGUUGACCUAGCUGUAUCCCGAGUAGCACGGAGCACGUGGAAUUCCGUGUGAAUCUGCGAGGACCACCUCGUAAGGCUAAGUACUACUGUGUGACCGAUAGUGAAACAGUACCGCGAGGGAAAGGUGAAAAGAACCCCGGGAGGGGAGUGAAAUAGAACAUGAAACCGUGAGCUUACAAGCAAUGGGAGCCCGACUAAUCGGGUGACCGUGUGCCUGUUGAAGAAUGAGCCGGCGACUUAUAGGCACUGGCGGGUUAAACCGGAAAUGGUGGAGCCACAGCGAAAGCGAGUCUUAAUAGGGCGUUUGUCAGUGUUUAUAGACCCGAACCCUGGUGAUCUAACCAUGGCCAGGAUGAAGCUUGGGUGAUACCAAGUGGAGGUCCGAACCGACUGAAGUUGAAAAUUCAGCGGAUGAGCUGUGGUUAGGGGUGAAAUGCCAAUCGAACCAGGAGCUAGCUGGUUCUCCCCGAAAUACGUUGAGGCGUAGCGUCUAGUGCUCCAGCAGGGGGGUAAAGCAACCAUUUCGGUGCGGGCUGCGAAAGCGGUACCAAAUCGAUAUGAACUCUGAAUACCCUGUGUGUAACUAGGCAGUCAGACUGUGGGGGAUAAGCUCCAUAGUCAAGAGGGAAACAGCCCAGACCGCCAGCUAAGGUCCCAAAAUUAACGCUAAGUGAUAAAGGAGGUGGGAUUGCCCAGACAACCAGGAGGUUUGCCUAGAAGCAGCCAUCCUCAAAGGAGUGCGUAAUAGCUCACUGGUCGAGCGAUCCUGCGCCGAAAAUGAAUGGGGCUAAGCGUUAUACCGAAGCUGCGGAUAAAUUUAUUUAUGGUAGGGGAGCGUUCUAUGUUGGGUGAAGCGUUAGCGUAAGCGGACGUGGACGGCAUAGAAGUGAGAAUGUCGGCUUGAGUAGCGAAAACAUGGGUGAGAAUCCCAUGCCCCGAAACCCUAAGGGUUCCUCCGGCAGGCUCGUCCGCGGAGGGUUAGUCUGGACCUAAGGCGAGGCCGAAAGGCGUAGUCGAUGGAUAACAGGUCAAUAUUCCUGUACCAGUUAUGUUUUGGGAAGGGGGACGGAGAAGGCUAGCCAGGCCAGAUGUUGGUUACUGGUUCAAGCGUUCAAGGCUUUGAGAGAUGGAGAAAACAUCUCGAGCUGAGGCGUGAGUACGAGCUGCUACGGCAGCGAAGUUGGUGAUGUCAUGCUUCCAAGAAAAGCCCUAUACCCGUUAAGACAUAAAUGCCAGUACCCGAAACCGACACAGGUGGGGUGGUAGAGAAUACCGAGGGGCGCGAGAUAACUCUCUCUAAGGAACUCGGCAAAAUGGCCCCGUAACUUCGGGAGAAGGGGUGCCAGCGAGAGCUGGUCGCAGUGAAGAGGCGCAAGCGACUGUUUACCAAAAACACAGGUCUCCGCUAAGUCGCAAGACGAUGUAUGGGGGCUGACACCUGCCCAGUGCCGGAAGGUUAAGGAAGCUGGUUAGCUUUUAGCAAAGCUAGCGACUGAAGCCCCGGUGAACGGCGGCCGUAACUAUAACGGUCCUAAGGUAGCGAAAUUCCUUGUCGGGUAAGUUCCGACCCGCACGAAAGGUGUAACGAUUUGCGCGCUGUCUCGGAGAGAGGCUCGGCGAAAUAGAAUUGUCUGUGAAGAUGCGGACUACAUACACCCGGACAGAAAGACCCUAUGAAGCUUUACUGUAGUUUGAUAUUGUGCUCGGGCUCUAAUUGCGCAGAAUAGGUGGGAGACGUUGAAAUAGUGCUUGUGGGCAUUAUUGAGUCAUCGGUGAGAUACCACUCUAUUAGAGCUAGGGUUCUAACGCUUACCCGUUAUCCGGGAAGCGGACAGUAUCUGAUGGGCAGUUUGACUGGGGCGGUCGCCUCCUAAAAGGUAACGGAGGCGCACAAAGGUUCCCUCAGGCUGGUUGGAAAUCAGUCGUUGAGUGCAAAAGCAGAAGGGAGCUUGACUGUGAGACCUACAAGUCGAACAGGGACGAAAGUCGGUUUUAGUGAUCCGACGGUUCUGCGUGGAAGGGCCGUCGCUCAACGGAUAAAAGUUACUCUAGGGAUAACAGGCUGAUCUCCCCCAAGAGUUCACAUCGACGGGGAGGUUUGGCACCUCGAUGUCGGCUCAUCGCAACCUGGGGCUGAAGUCGGUCCCAAGGGUUGGGCUGUUCGCCCAUUAAAGCGGUACGCGAGCUGGGUUCAGAACGUCGUGAGACAGUUCGGUCCAUAUCCGGUGUAUGCGCAGGAAUAUUGAGAGGAUUUCUCCCUAGUACGAGAGGACCGGGAGGAACGCACCUCUGGUGUGCCAGUUAUCGUGCCAACGGUAAACGCUGGGUAGCCAUGUGCGGAGUGGAUAACCGCUGAAAGCAUCUAAGUGGGAAGCCCACCUCAAGAUGAGUAUUGCCAUGGCUUAAGCCAGUAAGGUCACGGGAAGAACACCCGUUGAUAGGCUCUACGUGGAAGCUUGGUAACAAGUGCAGCGGAGGAGUACUAAUAGACCGAGGGCUUGACCA
rnacentral:rRNA from 1 species